rnacentral:snoRNA from 1 species
CUGUAGUCAAUUAAGCAGACCGGCUUCCUUUAUUCAUGAGACCUGGUGGGCAGUGGCUGCAGACAGCAGCCUCCUCUGUAGUGUAUGCAGCCUGUAGCUUGUGUGGGUUGCCCUAAGGGACCUUGGAGACAGGU